CCUACGGGGGGCAGCAGUGAGGAAUAUUGGUCAAUGGACGAGAGUCUGAACCAGCCAAGUAGCGUGAAGGAUGACUGCCCUAUGGGUUGUAAACUUCUUUUAUAUGGGAAUAAAAUGUUCCACGUGUGGGAUUUUGUAUGUACCAUAUGAAUAAGGAUCGGCUAACUCCGUGCCAGCAGCCGCGGUAAUACGGAGGAUCCGCGCGUUAUCCGGAUUUAUUGGGUUUAAAGGGAGCGUAGGUGGGUUGUUAAGUCAGUUGUGAAAGUUUGCGGCUCAACCGUAAAAUUGCAGUUGAAACUGGCAGUCGUGAGUACAGUAGAGGUGGGCGGAAUGCGUGGUGUAGCGGUGAAAUGCUGAGAUAUCACGAAGAACUCCGAUUGCGAAGGCAGCUCACUGGACUGCAACUGACACUGAGGCUCGAAAGUGUGGGUAUCAAACAGGAUUAGAUACCCCAGUAGUC
rnacentral:rRNA from 1 species